rnacentral:rRNA from 1 species
GAUGAACGCUGGCGGCGUGCCUAAUACAUGCAAGUCGAGCGAACGGACGAGAAGCUUGCUUCUCUGAUGUUAGCGGCGGACGGGUGAGUAACACGUGGAUAACCUACCUAUAAGACUGGGAUAACUUCGGGAAACCGGAGCUAAUACCGGAUAAUAUUUUGAACCGCAUGGUUCAAAAGUGAAAGACGGUCUUGCUGUCACUUAUAGAUGGAUCCGCGCUGCAUUAGCUAGUUGGUAAGGUAACGGCUUACCAAGGCAACGAUGCAUAGCCGACCUGAGAGGGGGAUCCGCCACAGUGGAGCUGACACACGGUCCAGACUCCUACGGGAGGCAGCAGUAGCGAAUCUUCCGAAAUGGGCGAAAGCCUGACGGAGCAACGCAGCGUGAGUGAUGAAGGUCUUCGGAUCGUAAAACGCUGUUAUUGGGGAAGAACAUAUGUGUAAGUAACUGUGCACAUCUUGACGGUACCGAAUAAGAAAGCCACGGCUAACUCCGU